rnacentral:rRNA from 1 species
UACGAAGGGGGCUAGCGUUGCUCGGAAUUACUGGGCGUAAAGCGCACGUAGGCGGCUUUCUAAGUCAGGGGUGAAAUCCUGGAGCUCAACUCCAGAACUGCCUUCGAUACUGGAGAGCUCGAGUCCGGGAGAGGUGAGUGGAACUGCGAGUGUAGAGGUGAAAUUCGUAGAUAUUCGCAAGAACACCAGUGGCGAAGGCGGCUCACUGGCCCGGUACUGACGCUGAGGUGCGAAAGCGUGGGGAGCGAACAGG